GAUGAACGCUGGCGGCGUGCUUAACACAUGCAAGUCGAACGAGCUUUAUUACUACGAUCCCUUCGGGGUGACGGUUUUAAAGCGAGUGGCGGACGGGUGAGUAACGCGUGGAUAACCUGCCAUACACUGGGGGAUAACAGCUGGAAACAGCUGCUAAUACCGCAUAAAACUGUAGAGUCGCAUGACUUUAUAGCCAAAGCUCCGGCGGUGUAUGAUGGAUCCGCGUCUGAUUAGGCAGUUGGCGGGGUAACGGCCCACCAAACCGACGAUCAGUAGCCGACCUGAGAGGGCGACCGGCCACAUUGGGACUGAGACACGGCCCAGACUCCUACGGGAGGCAGCAGUGGGGAAUAUUGGGGCAAUGGGCGCAAGCCUGACCCAGCAACGCCGCGUGAAGGAAGAAGGCUUUCGGGUUGUAAACUUCUAUCAGCAGGGAAGAUAAUGACGGUACCUGACUAAGAAGCACCGGCUAAAUACGUG
rnacentral:rRNA from 1 species